rnacentral:rRNA from 1 species
UUGAACGCUGGCGGCAGGCCUAACACAUGCAAGUCGAACGGUAACAGGAAACAGCUUGCUGUUUCGCUGACGAGUGGCGGACGGGUGAGUAAUGUCUGGGAAACUGCCCGAUGGAGGGGGAUAACUACUGGAAACGGUAGCUAAUACCGCAUAACGUCGCAAGACCAAAGAGGGGGACCUUCGGGCCUCUUGCCAUCGGAUGUGCCCAGAUGGGAUUAGCUAGUAGGUGGGGUAACGGCUCACCUAGGCGACGAUCCCUAGCUGGUCUGAGAGGAUGACCAGCCACACUGGAACUGAGACACGGUCCAGACUCCUACGGGAGGCAGCAGUGGGGAAUAUUGCACAAUGGGCGCAAGCCUGAUGCAGCCAUGCCGCGUGUAUGAAGAAGGCCUUCGGGUUGUAAAGUACUUUCAGCGGGGAGGAAGGGAGUAAAGUUAAUACCUUUGCUCAUUGACGUUACCCGCAGAAGAAGCACCGGCUAACUCCGUGCCAGCAGCCGCGGUAAUACGGAGGGUGCAAGCGCUAAUCGGAAUUACUGGGCGUAAAGCGCACGCAGGCGGUUUGUUAAGUCAGAUGUGAAAUCCCCGGGCUCAACCUGGGAACUGCAUCUGAUACUGGCAAGCUUGAGUCUCGUAGAGGGGGGUAGAAUUCCAGGUGUAGCGGUGAAAUGCGUAGAGAUCUGGAGGAAUACCGGUGGCGAAGGCGGCCCCCUGGACGAAGACUGACGCUCAGGUGCGAAAGCGUGGGGAGCAAACAGGAUUAGAUACCCUGGUAGUCCACGCCGUAAACGAUGUCGACUUGGAGGUUGUGCCCUUGAGGCGUGGCUUCCGGAGCUAACGCGUUAAGUCGACCGCCUGGGGAGUACGGCCGCAAGGUUAAAACUCAAAUGAAUUGACGGGGGCCCGCACAAGCGGUGGAGCAUGUGGUUUAAUUCGAUGCAACGCGAAGAACCUUACCUGGUCUUGACAUCCACGGAAGUUUUCAGAGAUGAGAAUGUGCCUUCGGGAACCGUGAGACAGGUGCUGCAUGGCUGUCGUCAGCUCGUGUUGUGAAAUGUUGGGUUAAGUCCCGCAACGAGCGCAACCCUUAUCCUUUGUUGCCAGCGGUCCGGCCGGGAACUCAAAGGAGACUGCCAGUGAUAAACUGGAGGAAGGUGGGGAUGACGUCAAGUCAUCAUGGCCCUUACGACCAGGGCUACACACGUGCUACAAUGGCGCAUACAAAGAGAAGCGACCUCGCGAGAGCAAGCGGACCUCAUAAAGUGCGUCGUAGUCCGGAUUGGAGUCUGCAACUCGACUCCAUGAAGUCGGAAUCGCUAGUAAUCGUGGAUCAGAAUGCCACGGUGAAUACGUUCCCGGGCCUUGUACACACCGCCCGUCACACCAUGGGAGUGGGUUGCAAAAGAAGUAGGUAGCUUAACCUUCGGGAGGGCGCUUACCACUUUGUGAUUCAUGACUGGGGUG